rnacentral:tRNA from 1 species
AUUUAUAUAGUAUAAAAGUAUAUAUGACUUCCAAUCAUAAGGUUUAUUAAAAUAAUAAUAUAAAUA